CGCAAUGGGGGCAACCCUGAUGGAGCAAUACCGCGUGCAGGAAGACGCUUUUCGGAGUGUAAACUGCUUUUAUAAGUGACGAUUAUGACGGUAACUUAUGAAUAAGGAUCGGCUAACUACGUGCCAGCAGCUGCGGUAAUACGUAGGAUCCAAGCGUUAUCCGGAAUUACUGGGCGUAAAGCGUGAGCAGGUGGUGAAUUAGGUCAGAUGCGAAAUCUUGCGGCUCAACCGUAUAGAUGUUGUCUGAAACCAGUUUACUAGAGGUCGGUAGAGGCAAGCGGAAUUUGUGAUGUAGCAGUGAAAUGCGUAGAUAUCACAAGGAACACCAAUGGCGAAGGCAGCUUGCUGGGCCGCACCUGACACUCAGUCACGAAAGCGU
rnacentral:rRNA from 1 species